GAUGAACGCUGGCGGCGUGCCUAAUACAUGCAAGUCGAGCGAACGGACGAGAAGCUUGCUUCUCUGAUGUUAGCGGCGGACGGGUGAGUAACACGUGGAUAACCUACCUAUAAGACUGGGAUAACUUCGGGAAACCGGAGCUAAUACCGGAUAAUAUUUUGAACCGCAUGGUUCAAAAGUGAAAGACGGUCUUGCUGUCACUUAUAGAUGGAUCCGCGCUGCAUUAGCUAGUUGGUAAGGUAACGGCUUACCAAGGCAACGAUGCAUAGGCGACGUGAGAGGGUGAUCGGCCACACUGGAACGGGAACACGCUCCAGACUCCUACGGGAGGCAGCAGUAGGGAAUCUUCCGCAAUGGGCGAAAGCAUGACGGAGCAACGCCGCGUGAGUGAUGAAGGUCUUCGGAUCGUAAAACUCUGUUAUUAGGGAAGAACAUAUGUGUAAGUAACUGUGCACAUCUUGACGGUACCUAAUCAGAAAGCCACGGCUAACUACGUG
rnacentral:rRNA from 1 species